AUAAAAAGGAAGGAGAAGAGAAGAGCUGCGCUGUCACUGCUACCGCCACCUCAAGAGGCCUUCCCAGGCGCUGGCCCAAGGAGGUCCCACAAAAACCACGACGUCAGGAAGAGAAUGCCUGGUAAUCCAAAACACAAAGUGCUUUACCAAGACAGAGCCCAUAAGGCCGAGAGAAACUGUGAGGAACGUGGUGGGAAAAGGCGGGCAGGAAAGCACAAGAAGGAACCUCAAGGAUCAUGAAGCUCCAACCUCCAGACCACAGGCAGGGCCACCAACCUCCACAUUUCAUACCAGCCCAGGCUGCCCAGGGCCCCAUCCAGCCUGGCCUUGAACACCUCCAGGGAUGGACGGGGCAUCCACAGCCUCUCUGGGCAGCUGUUCCAACACCUCACCAUUCUCCUGGUGAUGAGCUACAGCCAGCUCUGUUGGCUGCUGGGUGUGAAGCGGGAGGACCCGAAGCCCGGUCCCUUGCACGCCGAUGUCAUAGGAACGAGAGCUUUCUUUCGGUCUUCCCUCUGGAAAGAGAUCUAA
rnacentral:lncRNA from 1 species